rnacentral:rRNA from 1 species
AUGGCUCCUAUGGUACUUCUACUAUUUUGUUGUGUUGUGGUGGGCUGUGUUAAUUGCUAUCGUGCAUUCCUUCAGAAGAAAUUUAGGUGUACUAUGCUCGAGAUGGAAAUAGCAUGCUAUUUUCAGGCUCUUGGCAGUCCCUGUUGCUGUCCGUUCCCAUCACUCUGCAGCCCUAUCAGCGUUGCUGAAAUGUCGUGUUCUAGGUUUUGGAAUGGGCACAUCAUAGAUAAACAGGGAGUCGACGAAGCGGGUUUCCAAAAUGUUUCAGAGCUAUCAAAAUAUUGGAAUGCCAUUCAGUAUGAUCUGAUAUCACUAGAGUGGGACCGUUUAUGCUUACGUGUUUUGCAUCUCCUCAUUUGUUAUAGCAACCCCAUUUGCAUCUGA